UUGUAAUAUUUUAACGAAAUUUUAAAUGUUAUUUGCAAGGUUUUAAAUACUAUUAUUGACUGUUAAAAUUGUAGUAAGUAAAUCUGUGGUCUGUGUGCUGUGGCAUUGCAGCAAAAGAAAAGAUAUCGUGAUUUGAUAGCGAUUUGUUUUGCGAAUUACAAGCAUUCGUGCUGAAGACAUUCAUUAAUUUCUCAUUGCAAUUUGCAACUAUUGUGUGGAUCUUAGUUGUUUGUAGUUUCAAAUAGAAAAGGGUGGAAUUGGAAACUGGAAACCCUUUCUUAACAAGUUUAAUUUUAGUUACCUACCUGUCCUUCCUAAGCUUAUUUUUCAAAGCUACUGAAAUUAAAGGUUUGAGUCUGCGAGUGGAACGGCUGGAGUCUCGCCAUAAAGUGAGCUUCAACUCCUUCGUGGUGAGAGUACCGACUGCCAAGCUGAGCGUUUACAUGUGCGAAGGGUUUUGGCCGCAGGGAGUUGUGUUUCGCCGCUUCCGCGGACGGAUACCGAGCAGAAUCGCGUCACACGCCGAAGACAUAUAUAGCGUUUAUUAAUUUAGUAUUUAAGUAGUUU